rnacentral:rRNA from 1 species
UAAUUAGAUUUGGUUAAAAGGAAAAAUUAGCUCUAAAUUCUUUAUAAUUUAUCCUGGAUUUUUUAAUUAAAUUAGAAGAUAUAAUUUAUUUAAUAAUUAAAUGUUAUUGAGAUUUAGAGUAAUCUCUAGUUAAUUUUGUGCCA